AAGCCCGGCUCCUCAGGGGACUGCCUCUUUCCCUCCAACAGGCCCCACCCCCUACCCAGGUCCAACCCCUAGCGCUUCACCAAGCCCCUUCCAGCCAGUUCGAACCGCCUUCCGCUGGCCCCUCCUCCUUCUCGCCGCCAUUGGCACCGACCAAUCCCUUCCGCUCCACCCACCGGGUGCAGCCCCUUUCUCAAACUCCGCCCUUGCCUGGAGCCUCCAAAUUCCUGACAACCGCAGAUGUUCAUGAACUAAGGUGGCUGAAGCCUCUCAGCUGUUGCUGACCCACAGUGAGCACUCAGUUAAAGGUGCUGCUUUCUGUUAGGAGCUGCUGGAAAGCCUCGGCCAGCUGUGGUGAGCCACUUAACCUGUCUGGUUUAGGAUGUCACCUGACUGCUCCCGUGUAAAGGUUUGUUAAAUGGAAGUACAGGUUCCAUGUUCAGGGAAGCAGUUCACCCUGGUGAGUAGAUGCCUUGCGGUUUCGAGUCUGGAUACCAUCCUUCCUCAUGGUCAGUGGUCGGUUCACCUGCCAAGAGGGAGGCCAUGGCUGUUUCCCAGCUCCACAUCUUGCUCUAUGACUCCUCCAGGGAUGACCAAUUCACCCCACUUCUAAGAAGAGAGAACUUAUUCAAGGAUUAGGGAAUGUGCCCCUGAUAUGACAAGAAUCCUGAAGUUUUCAGGCUGUGACCAGAAGAACUGCUGGCGUUUGAGUGACUCCAGUGUUCUGAGCCCUAGUGGUUGCUCUGUCCCCUGACCUCCAACCAUUUCCAAAUGAGCUUUGAGGAUGACUUGUUGGGAUUUGGAACCACAUAUAUUACCUGGAAACUCCAGCCACUGUCUACUUCCAUCAUUGCUUCCCGGUCAACCUCUGAGCCUCAGUUUCUUUGCUUGGAAAAUGGGUAUAAUCAUGGAACCCACCUCAAAUGUUGUUGAGAGGCCACUCAACACAGGGCCUGCCUGCACAUCAUAAAUGAAGCCUUCCCUGACUGGUUCCCUCCCUCCUGGCAUCUUCUGGGGCUCCAGAGCUUGGUCUAAGCCCAUGGCAUUUGGACUAUUCUUGUCUCUUCCAGACUGUGGAGUCCAUCAGGGCUGGGACGAGCCUGACUCCCCUCCGUGUCAGUAGCACCUGGAGAAGCGUCAACCAAAGUCGACUAAGGAAUCAGAUGUUUGCCUUAAAACCACACUAUUUUGUUUUUAAGAGAAAACUAUAAAAGAUACUAUAACAAGCACUCACCUUUGUCAAAUGUUAAUAUUUUGCCCUAUUUACUUCAGGUCUUUUUUAAAAGAAAUAUAUUACAGAUACAGUUGAUACCCUUGCACCAAUUUAAUUUCACUUCCCCCUCUCCUUCCACUACCUUGAAUUUGGUGUUUAUCUUUCUCAUUAAUGUUUUGAUGUUUUACAUUGCAUUACUGCGUAUGUAUGUACCCAUGAACAACAAAUGAUACUUGGGAGUUUUGGCCUGUUUUUGACCUUCAUACAAAUUAAAUCAUAUAGUAUGUGCUUAUUUUGCUCAGCAUAAUAUCUGUGAGAUUCAUCCAAGUUGUUGUAUAGCUCAUUUUUUUUAUUGAGAUGUAAUUCACAUACCACAAAAUUCACCCUUUAAAGUAUACAUUUCAGUGGUAAGUAAAUUCACAAGGUGGUACAACUGUUAACCACUUUCUGAUUCCAGAACAUUUUCAUCAUCCCAUAAAGAAACCUUGUGCCCAUUAGUAGCCAUUUCCCUUUCCAUUUCCCCCUCCCCACAGCCCCUGGCAACCACUAAUCUACUUUAUAUCUCUAUGGAGUUGCCUGUUAUGGACAUCUCAUAUAAAUUGAAUCAUACAACAUGUGGGCUUUUGUGACUGGCUUCUUUUACUUCACAUAAAGUUUUCAAGGUUCGUUAAUAUUGUAGCAGAGAAGGCAAUGGCAACCCACUCCAGUACUCUUGCCUGGAAAAUCCCAUGGACGGAGGAGCCUGGUAGGCUGCAGUCCAUGGGGUCGCGAAGAGUCGGACACGACUGAGCGACUUCACUUUCACUUUUCACUUUCAUGCAUUGGAGAAGGAAAUGGCAACUCACUCCAGUGUUCUUGCCUGGAGAAUCCCAGGGAUGGUGGAGCCUGGUGGGCUGCCGUCUAUGGGGUUGCACAGAGUCGGACACAACUGAAGCGACUUAGCAGCAGCGGCAGCAUGUUGUAGCAUGGAUCAGUACUUCAUUCCUUUUUAGGGCUAAAUAACUUUCUAUCACAUGAAAACUUCAUUCUGCUAUUCAUUCAUCCAAUUAGUGAACAGUUUUGGCUGCGUGAAUAAUGCUACUAUGAACGUGAAAAUUUUUAUGUGGAUAUAUAUUUUCAGUUCUCUUGGGUGUGUAUCUAGGAAUGGAAUUGCAAGGUCCUGUGGUAAUUCUCAUUUCAGCUUUUUGAGGAACCUCAAAGGUAUUCUCCAGAGUAGCUAUAUGAAGGUUAUACAUCCUCUCCAGCACUUGUUACUGUGCUCAUUUUUGAUCCUAGUAAAUGUGAUAUGGUAUCUCAUUAUGCUUUUGACUUGUAUUUCCCUGAUGGCUAAUGAUAUUGAGCAUCUUUUCAUGUGUUUGUUGGUUUUUUUUUUUUUAACCAUACCAUGAAGCCUGUGGUAUCUUAGUUCCCUGACCAGGGAUUGAACCCAGGCCCCAGCAGUGAAAGCACUGAGUUCUAACCACUGGACCACCAGGGAAUUUCUGGUUGGCCAUUUGUAUAUAUUCUUUAUAGAAAUGUCUAUUCACAUCCUUUGCCCAUUUUAAUUGGGUUGGCUUUUUAUUUUUGAGUAUUAAGAAUUCUUUGUUCUGGAUGCUGGACCCUUAUCAGAUAUGUGAUUGCAUAUAUUUUUCUCUUAUUUGUGGGUUAUCUUUUCACUUUCUGGAGAGUGUCCUUUGAAGCACAAAAGCUUUUAGCUUUUUUUCCUUGGAUGCGUCAUGCAGCUUGUGGAAUCUUAGUUCUCUGACCAGAGGUUGAACCCAGGACCUUGGCAGUGAGAACAUGGAGUCCUAACCACUGGGCAGCCAGGGAAUUCUCAAAAGUUUUUAGCUUUGAAGAAGUCCAGUUUAUUUAUUUUUCUCUUUGUUUGCUAUGCUUUAGGUGUCAUAUCUAGGAAACCAUUGCUUAAUCCAAGGUUGUGAAGAUUUAUACCUAGGUUUUCUUCUAAAAGUUUUAUAGUUUUAGUGCUUAAUGUUUAAGUCUUUGAUCCAUUUUGAGUUGCUUUAAUGUGAAGUAGGGGUCCAGUUUAAUUCUUUCCAGCUGUCCCAGCACCAUUUGUUGAAAAGACUAUUCCUUCCCCCAUUGAAAUGUCUUGGCACACUUGUCAAAAUCAAUUGCCCAUGGUGCAUAAAUUUAUUUCUGGACUCUCAAUUCUAUUCCAUUGAUCUGUAUAUUUAUCUUUAUGCCAAUACCACACAGUCUUGAUUGCCAUAUUAUGUAAGUUUUUAAAUUGGGAUGUGCAAGUCUUCCAACUCUGUUUCUUUUUCAAUAGUUUUGUAGCUAUUCUGGAUCCCCAAAAUUUCCACUUGAAUUUUAGGGUCAGUUUGUCAAUUUCUGCAAAGAAGUAAGCUGGGAUUCUGAUAGGAAUUGCACUAAAUUUGUAGAUCAAUUUGGGGAGUAUUGCUAUCUUAAUGCUAUGAAGUCUGUAAUUCGUAAACAUGUGAUGUGUUUUUAUUUAGGUAUUCUUAAUUUCUUUCAACAAUGUUUUAUAGUUUUCAAUGUAUAAAUCUUGCCCAUCUUUUGUUAAGUUUAUUACUAAGUAUUUUCUUUUUCUGAUGCUAUUGUAAAUGAAAUUGUUUUAUUAAUUUCAUUUGUGGGUUUUUCUUUGCUAGUGUAUAGAAAUACAAUCAAGUUUUCUAUGAUCUUGUGACUUACAACCUUGCAGAGCUUUGUUGUAAUGGCUUUGUUGUGGGUUCCUUAAGAUUUUCUGUGUACAAGAUCAUGUUAUCUGCAAAUAGAGAUUGUAUAAUUCUUUCUUUCCAA